rnacentral:rRNA from 1 species
GACGAACGCUGGCGGCAUGCCUUACACAUGCAAGUCGAACGGUAACAGGUCUUCGGAUGCUGACGAGUGGCGAACGGGUGAGUAAUACAUCGGAACGUGCCUAGUAGUGGGGGAUAACUACUCGAAAGAGUGGCUAAUACCGCAUGAGAUCCACGGAUGAAAGCAGGGGAUCGCAAGACCUUGUGCUACUAGAGCGGCCGAUGGCAGAUUAGGUAGUUGGUGGGAUAAAAGCUUACCAAGCCGACGAUCUGUAGCUGGUCUGAGAGGACGAUCAGCCACACUGGGACUGAGACACGGCCCAGACUCCUACGGGAGGCAGCGGUGGGGAAUUUUGGACAAUGGGCGAAAGCCUGAUCCAGCAAUGCCGCGUGCAGGAUGAAGGCCUUCGGGUUGUAAACUGCUUUUGUACGGAACGAAAAGCCCCGGGUUAAUACCCUGGGGUCAUGACGGUACCGUAAGAAUAAGCACCGGCUAACUACGUGCCAGCCGCCGCCGUAA